rnacentral:rRNA from 1 species
UUACUUGGAUAACUGUGGUAAUUCUAGAGCUAAUACAUGAAAACAGAGCUCCAACCGGAGACGGAAGGAGUGCUUUUAUUAGAUCAAAACCAAUCGGUGGCGGGUUUACACUUGUCACCGUACAAUUUGGUGAAUCUGAAUAACUUUUAGCUGAUCGCAUGGUCUCGCACCGGCGAACGCAUCUUUCAAAUGUCUGCCUUAUCAACUGUCGAUGGUAGGUUCUGCGCCUACCAUGGUUGUAACGGGUAACGGGGAAUCAGGGUUCGAUUCCGGAGAGGGAGCCUGAGAAACGGCUACCACAUCCAAGGAAGGCAGCAGGCGCGCAAAUUACCCACUCCCGGCACGGGAAGGUAGUGACGAAAAAUAACGAUACGGGACUCAUCCGAGGCCCCGUAAUCGGAAUGAGUACACUCUAAACCCUUUAACGAGGAUCAAUUGGAGGGCAAGUCUGGUGCCAGCAGCCGCGGUAAUUCCAGCUCCAAUAGCGUAUAUUAAAGUUGUUGCGGUUAAAAAGCUCGUAGUCGAAUUUGUGUCUUGCGCCGCUGGUUCAUCGUUCGCGGUGUUAACUAGCGUGUCGUAGGACGUCCUGCCGGUGGGUUUAGCCUUUACUCUACAUAUGUGGGGUUAAAGGCGGCCCAAAUCAAUCCUGCUGUGGUGCUCUUCAUCGGGUGUCUUAGUGGGCCGGCACGUUUACUUUGAACAAAUUAGAGUGCUUAAAGCAGGCUAAAAUUUUGCCUGAAUAUUGUGUGCAUGGAAUAAUGGAAUAGGACCUCGGUUCUAUUUUGUUGGUUUUCGGAACUCCGAGGUAAUGAUUAAUAGG